AUAUUAAAAUCUUUCAAUUUCAUUUGCCUCAAAUCGCUACCCUAACAGGCUAACCCUUAUCUUCACUGUUCUGUGUUCGUUUGUUUAGUUGCAGAAAUGUCACAUUUUGGGAGAUCUGGUCCUCCAGAUAUCAGAGAUACAUACUCUCUUCUCGUUCUCAACAUAACCUUCCGAACCAGUGCAGAUGAUCUCUUCCCUCUGUUCGAUAAAUAUGGAAAGGUCGUCGACAUCUUUAUCCCGAGAGACAGAAGGACUGGGGAGUCACGAGGGUUUGCGUUUGUUCGGUAUAAGUAUGCGGACGAGGCACAGAAAGCAGUGGAAAAGCUCGACGGAAGGAAUGUCGAUGGCAGAGAGAUUAUGGUUCAAUUUGCAAAAUAUGGGCCAAACGCUGAACCAAUACAGAAAGGAAGGAUAGUGGAAGCACUUCCAAAGUCAAGAGGCAGGUCAAGAAGCCGUAGUCCCCGCCCAAGGUACCGAGAUGAUUACAGAGAUGGGGAUUACAGGAAGAGAAGUCGCAGUAGAAGUAGGGGUAGAUAUGAUCGUGACAGGUAUCGUCACAAUGAGAGGGAUUAUCGUCGUCAAACCAGGAGUCGCAGUGUAAGUCCUGAUUACCACCGAGGUCGUGGCAGAGGCAGGUAUGAUGAUGAGAGACGGAGAAGCCGCAACCGGUCUUAUGAGAGUCCUAGUCCUAAACGUAGUCCAUCUCCAAGGAAAACGCCUCCAUCUAGGGAUGGAAGUCCUGAUAGACGCAGCCAAGAUGAGCGUUCUUCAUCCCCUAGAAGUGCUUCCCCCCGGGAUCGAGCUGCUGCUUCUCGGAGCCCGUCUCCACUUAAUUCAGAUGCUGAUGAAUGAUGGAGUAGCAUGGCUUGUUCUGGCACUGAAUAUCAGUGAAUGUACCAUCUGUAGCUGUACUGCUACCGGAAAAGAGCUUUGUGGUCUUGCUUGUUCUAGCCAAAGUACUAGAUGCUAGUUUUGAUAGCCCUGGGCUUCAUUUGAAGUUACGUUCGUGAAAAGAAUUAAUGUGGCUGAUUGGCGAGAUGAUGAUAUUGUAGCUGUUGAUGCUGUUUUGUACUUGAUGGAUGAUGUUCGUUUUGAUGCUCGUUCCAAACAGUAGUAAUCUGGUGGUUCUCACCUCCUAAAAUGUUAAUCAAUUUGCUGUGAUGAUCCAAUUAUUGGUAAGAUUCAUGAUUCAAUUUUCUUUGUUUUAGCCUUAUAUCCAUCCGGAUUCUGCCAUUUUACCUGACCCCACUCCAUGGCUUCAAUGGUGGUUAAGUUUUGGGCCCUGAAAGGAGUAGUUGUAGCUGUGAUGAUGCGAGUGUCCUGGACCUGAUAUUCAAAUGUUGUUGCUGACUUGAGAAUGAGGCCUAUGUGCUGAGCUUGACCCUUCCAUUAUAACGUGGUCAACAGGGUAACAGAUGCAUGGUUGCUUAUUUUGUGUAGGGUUCUUGGUUUGACUUCAAGUCAUUUAAUGUCUAGUUAGUAGGAUAUUGACUUGUGUUGCAUCAUGUACUGAGAUGUGAUAGCAUGAAGUUGUGGCUGUAGCUGUGAAGCUGUAGCGGGUAAUAUUGGUAUCAGUGUUGAUAGCAUGAAGUUGUGGCUGUACCUGUGAAGUGGUAGCCGAUAUCCACUUAAUGCUGCUGUCUAUCGCAUUUCUA